CACAAACACACACACACCUUCCCAUUACCUCACCGUACACUCGCCUGUGCACAGAAGCACUUUAGCUUUUAAUAUACACCUGUGUCCUCAGAGUGCUAUCUAGGACACUACUCAGGACAAACACUUGUGAAGAAACCCUUACUUCUGUGUUCUGUAAGCAGCAUAAUUACUGGAGUUGACAGGUGAAAGCCAGGGCUACAGUUUAGUCAUGGUGGUAAAGAUAGCUGCAGAAGAAGAAGAAGGAGGAGGAGGAGGAGGAGGAGGAGGAGGAGGAGGUGAGAUCAGGCCACCGAAAUGAGCUCAGGAUUUCUCAUUGAACCUGUCUGGUAGCUCUUUGCGGUUUGGUCAGAUUUGAGGUGAUCAUACCAGCUCUCCAAUUAAACACACGCAGGAUGCGAUCCGCAUAGCUGGGAUUCUUUAAAACAACCAAAGUCCCCUCUGCGGCCCGCCAGCAGAGCGACAGCCUCACCCGCGAGCAUCACCGCAGUGUUUCCUCACCUUGUGUUCGUCGAAUUCCAGUACACGACGUGUCUUUUGGCCACGGCGGCAGAGAUUAUGUUUAAGAGGAAGAUCGUGGCUUUCCACGCCGGGAGAGCUCCCGGCGUCCGCACCGGGGAGCCCAUCCUGUCCGCCCCGGGCCGCCGGAGAGGACUCUGGGAGUAGCGCGCGGGUCAGGUGAAGGGGUGGAGACCCGGCGGAGCUCGGUGAACAGCUUUCCUCCAGCAGCUUCACCAGUUCAUGAAGAAAACUCAAAUGUUCACCUCAAGUGCUGCUGCUGCUGCUGCCUCGUAUGAUGCAUGAAGUGGUCUUAAAGUCGCUUUUUUAAAAAAAGAAAGGGUGUUAAAUCACAGGUUGCAGAGCUGAAGGUGAGUGAGGAGGUCUGUCCGCGGUCCGCAUCAUGGUGGUUUUUUGGGGGGGGGAGCGGAGAUCUCCUCGCUGUAAAGCUGCAGGCUGAGAGUUUAAAGGUCAGAGUCUCCAGUGUACAGUAAUAAGUGAGGAUAUCAGUAGAAACUGCCAGCUGGUUUGGCAGCAACAGGCUGCGGAGAGCGCCUGAAGGGCGGAGCCGCCGGGCUUGAGGGGCGGUGCCGGGAGAAACUUUGGACCAAUCGGGCGACAAGGGUGUGGUGAUGUGUGGGAGACCGAUGCCAAGAGUUAAACCCUUGUGAGGUGCGCCGACUGGUGUGGAGAGACAGUCCGUCACUGUCCCACUUCAUCAGGAGCCCCUGUCCUCUGAGAGAGACUGAUCUGGAGCUGAUAGUCGGAGACAGACCCUGAGCAGCUGGGUGUGUUGCUCACUGGUGCACAGUCUUUACUUAGGUAGAAGUAGGCCUACAGAUACUUGUGGAAAAAAAAGACCCUUGUAAAAGUAGUAAAGUACAGGCUCUGAAAGGUGCACACAAUAUUAAAGUAUCCCUCUGAAGGA